rnacentral:rRNA from 1 species
UACGUAGGGUGCGAGCGUUAAUCGGAUUUACUGGGCGUAAAGCGUGCGCAGGCGGCCCGUUAAGACAGGUGUGAAAUCCCUGGGCUCAACCUAGGAAUUGCGCUUGUGACUGGCGGGCUCGAGUACGGUAGAGGGGGGUGGAAUUCCUGGUGUAGCAGUGAAAUGCGUAGAGAUCAGGAGGAACACCGAUGGCGAAGGCAGCCCCCUGGGCCUGUACUGACGCUCAUGCACGAAAGCGUGGGAAGCAAACAGG